rnacentral:rRNA from 1 species
GACGAACGCUGGCGGCGUGCCUAAUACAUGCAAGUUGAGCGAUGAAGAUUGGUGCUUGCACCCAUUUGAAGAGCAGCGAACGGGUGAGUAACGCGUGGGGAAUCUUCCUUUGAGCGGGGGACAACAUUUGGAAACGAAUGCUAAUACCGCAUAACAACUUUAAACAUAAGUUUUAAGUUUGAAAGAUGCAAUUGCAUCACUCAAAGAUGAUCCCGCGUUGUAUUAGCUAGUUGGUGAGGUAAAGGCUCACCAAGGCGAUGAUACAUAGCCGACCUGAGAGGGUGAUCGGCCACAAUGGGACUGAGACACGGCCCAAACUCCUACGGGAGGCAGCAGUAGGGAAUCUUCGGCAAUGGACGAAAGUCUGAACGAGCAACGCCGCGUGAGUGAAGAAGGGUGUCGGAUCGGAAAACUCUGUUGGUAGAGAAGAACGUUGGUGAGAGUGGAAAGCUCAUCAAGUGACGGUAACUACCCAGAAAGGGACGGCUAACUACGUG